CUUUUGCAUGGCCCCAAACCCUGUGUAAUUAUUUCUCUGUUACCUCACUGUGCCCCGCCCCCCAUGCAGCUCGCAUUUCCUCCCUUUAUGUGUUAAGUCCAACCUGACAAUUUCCAGUACAAAUUUUUCACCAAAAAGAUGUGACUGUGGUUUCCAGAAUUUUGACCCCAUUCCGAGGGACAUAAAUAGAUUCCUGAGGUUCAUCUGAGAAAUGUAUUGGAAGCAGCACUUGCCCCAUCUGUCUGUCCUGGCUCCACUACAGUGCCCGCCAUGACCAGGGUUUGUCCACUAGCUGGAGAUCAUACUAUUACAACAAAGAGUGCAGAACAGUCUGAGGGCAAAUGAGGAUGCAGAGACAAUGAAGAAAGGCUGGACUGAGGAAAGCUUGUGCACACUUACCUGAUGGAUGGGGGAGAGCUGGGGAAGCCGUAAUAAACAGGGCGCUGAGACUGUGGAAGAUCAGCCAACAGAUGAGAGUUUGUCUGUGCAUUCAUGUCAAGCUGUUUGUUCUAGAAUGGGCACAAUAUAAUAAAAAUUCAGCUUUAUUUUUGUCUCAGGUAGGGGUCUCUAGAAGCAGAGCCUGAGUUGCAGAUUCAUGUGCAAGUGCAAGAUACUUAUUGAGGGUAACUUUAGGAGAAGGGGAAUAAGGAAGCACGAUAGGACAGGGGAAGACAACUAAGGCAGGAUGUGGGCUUGAGGGCUUGCCUGAAGCUUAACAGCAGCCUUGUCCCAUGGGGGUCAUGGUGCACAUGGUGCCCCAUGGAACUGAGCUCCACCUUGAAAUCCCACCUUUUGUACUCUGAGUCUGUCAUUGGCCACUUUCUACUGGAAGGUAGUCAUGGACAGUGAUGACAUCUGGGUGAGGUGGCUUCUGUUCUGCUGAAGGCAGUUCUCUGGAGAAGGAGGCUGCUGUGAGCCAUAAACAGCCGACACUGACAGCACGGUGGGUGCAGUGACCUGAAGGAGGGGAUCUGGGUAGGACAUGAAAAAUAUCCACUACAUCUAUUGUC